rfam:Ictidomys tridecemlineatus contig023116, whole genome shotgun sequence.
GGGGUUGUGGCUCAGCAGUAGAGCACUUGUCUCACAUAUGUGAGACCCUGGGUUCGAUCCUCAGCACCA